CCUACGGGUGGCAGCAGUGAGGAAUAUUGGUCAAUGGGCGGAAGCCUGAACCAGCCAAGUCGCGUGCAGGAUGACGGCCCUAUGGGUUGUAAACUUCUUUUAUAUGGGAAUAAAGCGCUCCACGUGUGGGGCUUUGCAUGUACCCUAUGAAUAAGGAUCGGCUAACUCCGUGCCAGCAGCCGCGGUAAUACGGAGGAUCCGAGCGUUAUCCGGAUUUAUUGGGUUUAAAGGGUGCGUAGGUUGUAUGUUAAGUCAGCUGUGAAAGGUUGUGGCUCAACCCGAACAUUGCAGUUGAAACUGGCAGACUUGAGUCUGCUGGAGGUAGGCGGAAUGCGUCGUGUAGCGGUGAAAUGCUUAGAUAUGACGAAGAACUCCGAUUGCGAAGGCAGCUUACU
rnacentral:rRNA from 1 species